rnacentral:lncRNA from 1 species
UUUGAUUGUGAUUUUUAGGUAUGAUUAAAAAUGGAAUGGUUACGCUCAAUUUAGGUACAAUUUUUAGAUGGACGCGACUAGCCAGCACCCGUUGGCUGGCUAGUGUUCCAGGGCACACACCCCAAAUUAGGUAGUAGGCCUUUCCCCGUAUCCAACAGGCAAACCAAAAAGGAAACAAACAGUCCCCCGCACACAUGGCCCCCAGGGGAGAAUCUGACAUGAUCGUAAUUUUUGCUCCGUGUAAGGCACAUGCCGAUGCACCAGACACCCGUCUCGCCUCCUUACCCCAGUCGUAGCCCCCCAAACAUGCCCUUCUCCGUUUGUCCUCUCCUCCAUUGCCACAACUGAUGCCCCCAAUUUUGGUGGUCAUUGAUCUAAGAUUCAGGUGUUCCUGAAUUCCCCAACCCACAACCUCCUCUUGCCCUCUUUCAACGAAUCCAACACCUGAAAAAGCGAGUUUCCAUCUUGAUGUGCCUUCUAAUACGCCUCCUCUUUUACAAAACUAUGUGAAACCAAUGGUGUAUCAGUGAGGGAAUAUACAAACAACAUGGCAGUUAAGGAUCUGGAACUAAGGUUUCUGGCAUGCAAAAAAUGUGUCUUUUUUGGGCAAGUUAAUAUGAUAUGCAGGCAAGUCUGGAAUGAUUUUUAGGCAACUCGUGCUGAAAACACGGGCAAAACCCUCUCUUAAAAGUACAGUUCUAGUUUAUGCUGGGAUUUUUUGCAAGUAUCUGCACAAAAUUGUAGGUUGCGCCAGGCUGUUGUUUUUUGGUUGAUCUUCAAGCUUGUCAAAGCUGUUGGGCGAGUUGUGUAUAUGUGUAGGCAAUCAGGGAGGAAAAAAAUGCAGUCAACUCAUGUUUCUUGUGUGGUAGAAAAAUAAAUUAAGGAAAAAAUAAGUCUUGAAAGUUACAGUGUUUGGCUGUUACUAGUGAAUUUUUGGGCAAAUAUCUCCUUAAACUACAUGUUGCUCAAUUGUAGCAGUAGCUAAUGUGUUUUGUUGUGAAUAUUGCUACUGGAUUUUGGGCCAUGUAUCUUUCUAAGGCUUUAUUGUAAUUGUAGUUAUUGUGUUUGUUGUGCUUCUAGAUGUUCACAUAUCUAGGCAAGUUUCUAUAGUGUUUGGGCAAGUAGGGAAUGGUUUAGAGGCAACUCAUGUUUAUUUGGUUGUGUGAAAAAAGAAACAUAACCCUCUUGAAGUUCUGGUUUUAGCUUUUGAUUUGGAUUUAGGACAGGUAUCUCAUGGGGCUUAUGCUGUGUUUGCAGGUGAAAAAAGAAAUUGAUUUAUUGGCCACCCAUGGUCAAAACCUCGAGGAGCAAAAAACAGAUAAAAAAGUUUUCGCCUUUAUAUGGGUUUCUUCUAAGCAAAAACUUGCAUGUAAAGUUCAGGCAAAAUUGACCCAUAUUUUGCUUGCACAAUAUUUAACUAAACCCAUGAAGGUUUGAUUUUUCCUCACCUUGUUCAUCCUGAUUGCAACUGUUUUUUCAGUGUUUUCCUAUCUUUUCUUCCAGCAUGAGCAGCUAGUGUUGACUUAUACUGCACCUG